rnacentral:rRNA from 1 species
AACGAACGCUGGCGGCAUGCCUAACACAUGCAAGUCGAACGAGACCUUCGGGUCUAGUGGCGCACGGGUGCGUAACGCGUGGGAACCUGCCCUUAGGUUCGGAAUAACUCCCCGAAAGGGGUGCUAAUACCGGAUAAUGUCUUCGGACCAAAGAUUUAUCGCCUUUGGAUGGGCCCGCGUUGGAUUAGCUAGUUGGUAGGGUAAAAGCCUACCAAGGCGACGAUCCAUAGCUGGUCUGAGAGGAUGAUCAGCCCCACUGGGACUGAGACACGGCCCAGACUGCUACGGGAGGCAGCAGUGGGGAACAUUGGACAAUGGGCGAAAGCCUGAUCCAGCAAUGCCGCGUGAGUGAUGAAGGCCUUAGGGUUGUAAAGCUCUUUUACCCGGGAUGAUAAUGACAGUACCGGGAGAAUAAGCUCCGGCUAACUCCGU